rnacentral:misc_RNA from 1 species
GAUGAAGAAACGCAGCGAAAUGCGAUAAGUAAUGUGAAUUGCAGAAUUCAGUGAAUCAUCGAAUCUUUGAACGCACAUUGCGCCCGCCAGUAUUCUGGCGGGCAUGCCUGUUCGAGCGUCAUUUCAACCAUCAAGCCCCAGGCUUGUGUUGGGGACCUGCGGCUGCCGCAGGCCCUGAAAACCAGUGGCGGGCUCGCUGUCACACCGGGCGUAGUAGAUUUUAUCUCGCUCAGGGCGUGCUGCGGGUUCCGGCCGUUAAAAAGCCUUUUUUACCCAAGGUUGACCUCGGAUCAGGUAGGAAGACCCGCUGAACUUAAGCAUAUCAAUAAGCGGAGGA